rnacentral:rRNA from 1 species
CCUACGGCGGCUGCAGUGGGGAAUAUUGGACAAUGGGCGAAAGCCUGAUCCAGCCAUGCCGCGUGUGUGAAGAAGGCCUUCGGGUUGUAAAGCACUUUCAGUGGGGAAGAAAGCCUUGGGGCUAAUACCCUCGAGGAAGGACAUCACCCACAGAAGAAGCACCGGCUAACUCCGUGCCAGCAGCCGCGGUAAUACGGAGGGUGCGAGCGUUAAUCGGAAUUACUGGGCGUAAAGCGCGCGUAGGCGGUCUGAUAAGCCGGUUGUGAAAGCCCCGGGCUCAACCUGGGAACGGCAUCCGGAACUGUCAGGCUAGAGCGCAGGAGAGGAAGGUAGAAUUCCCGGUGUAGCAGUGAAAUGCGUAGAGAUCGGGAGGAAUACCAGUGGCGAAGGCGGCCUUCUGGACUGACACUGACGCUGAGGUGCGAAAGCGUGGGUAGCAAACAGGAUUAGAUACCCCAGUAGUC